UAUCCUCAAGUGGUAAUUUAUGAAGUUGCAAAAAACGUUGUACGCAACUCGGUGCAGAACUCGAUUUUUACAGCACUCGUCCUAAUUAUCUAACUCGGCAAGCCUCGUUGGAUAAAUGUACGACUCGUGCUGUAAAAAUCUUCAUUCUGCACCUUGUUGCGUAAACUACUAUUUCGGGUUGCGUUACGGUAAAAGAUCUGCCAAACCGAACCCUAGUCUUAACUAUUUUCAAUUAUGUAACAACAUAUUUUAGUAGGGUAUGUGUGCCAUCAGUAAUCUCAUACUCCCAUAUUCAUCCUAUUCGAAAACAAGCGAUUACGGCACCGAUUGAUUUCGUUCUUUUUGUUUUCAUGCGUGCUCACUUCUAACAAAAAAUGCAAAAAUAUGAAACAAAAGAAACAACGCUUCAAUCCUUUGUUUUUCAUAGGAUGAGAAUGGGAGCCACAUGCUUAAUAAGGGAACCAAUACCCUAAUUAAAGGAAAAGCUUUGGUCCUUAUUACAUUUCACACCUUAUUAACAGUGAUAGAUCUCAGUUUUGGCGUUGCCGAGAUGGAUCUUGAAACCAGGAAAGCUGGGAUAGUAUUCCUAAUCUUUUAUUCGGUGCACUGGUGUGAGGCAGUAAUGACUUGGGUUUUGAUACAGGCAUACCCCGAUAUAACGUAACUGCAUUUUUAUUUUCGUUACGUUAAAUCAAAGCAAAAAAAAAAUGUUUCGUGAUUUGUGGAUCAAAAAUGUUUUGAAGGGAAAAUGAUUUUUUUACUGAAAUUCUUUAAGUUAAUUGUACAAUGAUUCUUCUAGGAAUGCCUACUGUGACCGCUCCAAGAGUUUCUGAUAAGAUUUCUCAAGGAAUUCCUCUUAAUACAUCUAGUGAUUUCUUCAAACAUUCCUUUAGAAACUCUUUCAGAGAUUUUGCUAGAAUAGGACAGAUCGGUGAAGUACUAGAUUUGUAGUAAUGAGCUGAAUUUUAGUAUGGUGAGAAGGUCAAUUCUCCGUUUCUGCAAUGAAAUGGUGCAAAAAGUGAGGGUAUUAUGAUUCCUUGCCUAAUUUGAUGCUGUUUGAGCAAAACUUUGGACAACAGUGUUGUUGUUUUCUCUAUUUCUUGCAACAUAAACAACAUAGUUAUCCAAAGUUUUGCUCAAACAGUAUCAAAUUAGGCAAGGAAUCAUAAUACCCACGCUUUUUGCACCAUUUCAUUGCAGAAACGGAGAAUUAACCUUCUCACCAUACUAAAAUUCAGCUCAUUACUACAAAUCUAGUACUACACCGAACGUGCCCCAUUCCAUCUACGAUUUCUCGUGGAAUUCCUGCUGGCAUCAUACAGUACUUUUUUGCCGGAAUUCCCCCAGGAAUUCCUCCAGAAACUUCAUUUGUGAUUUCUUUAGGGAGUUCUCCAAGUAUUCGUUCGGGUUUUUAAAAGAUUCUUCUAGGAACGCUUCCGGUGAUUUAUUAGAAGAAUUCUGAUAGAUGGAUUCAAUGGAUCCCUGAAGAAACUCCCUUUAAGAUUCCUCCAGGAAUACCUUAUAGUACUUCUCCAGAAAUUCUUACUUGAAUUCCUUCAGGAAGUGUGCCUAGAAUUAAUCCAAAUGUUCCCAUUUUUCCAGAAAUUUCUCCAAGGAUUUCUUCAUGAAUCCUUACUAACUUUUUUCUGCAUUGAAUUUCUACUGUGAACCCUACAGAAUCUUCCACUGGGAUUUCUCUUGCUAAGUCUGCUAACAUUUCUCCAGAAAUGCCUACCAGAACACUUCCUGCCACCUCUACAGAAAUUUCCCAUGUUGUUCAUUCAGGAUUUUGUCUAGGUAUUCCUUAGCAUCUUCUUAUUUGUAGCCCAACAUUUGCAUUGGAACUUGGCCUGCUUCUCUUCAACAUAGUGUUCUUUAAGGAUUUCCACAGUUUUAGAGGGCUUUCUUUGCCUGACAUUACAUGAAUUUGAAUAUACGUGGCAAGCACGAUGAUACAUUAUGUCCAGGAAUCUGAGAAAAUUUUCCUUACUGGAACAGAAAUCGAACCCGCCGUCUCCGGUUUGGCGAUUCAUAGCCUAAAUCGUUAUGGACUAGGCUAACUGGAGACAGCCUGCGAAGACGCAUUCUAAUCCUUGAAGUCUAUUACAGGUUCAUUUUGGAAAUUUUGCGGGGAGUUUACCGGGGAUUUCUAAUGAGAUUCUUCUAGAAUUCCUCCGGGGUUUCCUCUAGGAGAGAUUUAUUCAGGAAUUAUUGGUUUCGGUAGCCAAAAAUGCAACUAAGGACGGAACAAACACGGUAUUGCAUGAAAUAAACAAUAAACAAUUGUCUGUCUGCAUUUUUAGCAGAAACAUGUUUUGCCUCCAAGUUAACGCUUUAUUAAAUAAAGGAGCCUGUUUUCCCGAAUCGGUACAGGAUUUUUAUAAUAUUGUUAAUGGAAAUUUCUUAGAUUACUCUGAGCAUGUAUCUGCCUACCAAUAAACAAAUGCGAAAAAAACUAUUUUGACACUUAAACUCUCAUAAAACUACAAAAGUAGUCAUAAAACACUAGGAUGAGUAGCAGGCUUGGUUUUAGGCUUGUGAUGUAAUGUCAUACAUAUUAGUAUAAAAACAUGCUUAUUAUUUUAAUAACCAAAUGUUGGAGCCAAAAAAAAGUUCCGUUUUAUCGAGGAAAUAGGUACAUUAUAUGGAGGUUACGUUAUAUCAAGGUAUGAUUGUAUUGUAUCUUUAUAAAUUAUCUUGCCAGAAAUAGUUUUUGAUCAUGCUAUUUUUUUCAUCAAGCGUUAGGGAUGUCAAAGUGCAAUUGAAUAACUUUGACAUCCCUAACGCUAGUUUCGAGAAACGUCAAAAUAAACGCUAAAUGGGAAAUGAUCAAAAUACAACUCUUGACCUUUUUCGAUAACAGAUGGUGCUAUUGUCUUAGCUUUCCAUGUCACCGUGCUAAUGUAUGGGAAAAUGUAAAGUAACCUAUAUUAGAAGACUUGCAGCACUGCUCAGAAUCGGGAGUCACUGUUAGCAGCGCCACCACGGAUGAAGAUGGAAGCAUUUAUGACAGUAUGUGUAAAUCUUCAUACUCGCACCAAUACACUCUUACACUUUUAUACAAUGAUACCACUUUAGCUUAACAGGAGGCGGUGCCGUCGCUGACGCAUGCCGUUAGUAUGGGAAAACAACAGAGUUGCAUGUCUUCUUGAUAAAGUAGUCUUCGCUAUAUUGUUAUUUUUUUUUGUUUAUAUGGCUUCGUGGUCUUGCGGCUAGUGUCACCAAGCACUUAGUCGCAUCGUGCUGAGGAGCGCGGGUUCGAUUUCCCACCGCAGCUGUCAGUAAAUGUUUUCGGCUGUGCCACGGGGUGUUGCGUACUAGUCCGUUGUCUAGUCACUACAUGACUUGGUCCGGCAAGCCCAUAAACGUCAGUGAAAAGACAACGCAGAUCGACAAAUGCCAGGUGAUGCGUUGAUAAUAGCAGAAUAGCAGAAUUUUACAUGCACUUUUAUGCUCUAACUAAUGGGGUCUUUGAUCACGGCAAAAGUUUAUUUUUGUAUUUACAACAGUGAAAUUGUCAAAAUAGUUUUUGGCGCUGAAACUGCUGAUAUUUAAAUUACAAUUUUUUCCUUCUUUUAAACAUAGGGUAUUCUUUCUAGUUGCAUUGUUAAAAUAGUUUUUGGCAAUAAUUGUUGAAAAAGAUAAAAUCAACAGAUCCGUUUCCAGUUUCCUGCUGAAUUGCAAUUCAUCCUGACUACAAUUCGGCCUAAUGACCAUUCCGCCUAGUGACGAAUCGGCCAAAUGACCAUUCGGCCUAAUGACCUUCUGCCUAAUGGCCUACGGCCUAAUGACUUUCUGCCUGAUGACCCUGAGCUUCAAGUGCGUUUCAGGGGGUUUCAGAGCAUUUCAUAGAAUUUCAGGGGUGUUCUAGGGCAUUUCAGGGGCGUUCAAGGACUUUCAAGGGGUUCCAGAGUCCAAGUGAUUUUAGUCGUUUCAGGAGUGCAAUGAGUUGUUUCUGGGGGAUUCAAGAGUGUUCCAAGGUGUUUCAGGGGAUUUCCAGAGGAUUAAAACGAUUUUCAAGGGUUUUCAGGGUUGUUCCGUGGGUUUCAGGGCUUCCCAGAUGUGUUUAGGUAGGGUAAGUGUACCAAUUAUGACUAUAGUACCAAUUAUUCGCCAUAGUUGAUUUUCACUCUUUAACGAUGUAAAUCAACAACAACAAAAUUGUGAACAACAGAUGACGUUCACAAAAGAUGGUUGCUCUCAUUUAAACUCCACAUUUUGGCAGCGCUUGAAAUUGAGUGAAUAUGAAGAAAACGACCAGUUAUCCGCCCGCAACCACUACGAACGAAUACGCAAAGGGAGCGAAGAAAACCCGAACCAACUGCGACUGCUGUUCCUCAUCGGUCGGUUCGCUUGUGAAGCAAACUGACUAGUGAUCGUUCAUGCUCUGUUGCUGCGGUGAGUGUGAAGAUGGGGAAAUGAUUCAGUGGUUUUAUUUGUUGCUCAAAAUUUGUAAAAACAAUCAUUCUGUUGGUAUGGGAAUGUUGUACGUGACUAUUGUAAU